GACGAACGCUGGCGGCGUGCUUAACACAUGCAAGUCGAACGGAAAGGCCCUGCUUUUGUGGGGUGCUCGAGUGGCGAACGGGUGAGUAACACGUGAGUAACCUGCCCUUGACUUUGGGAUAACUUCAGGAAACUGGGGCUACUACCGGAUAGGAGCUCCUGCUGCAUGGUGGGGGUUGGAAAGUUUCGGCGGUUGGGGAUGGACUCGCGGCUUAUCAGCUUGUUGGUGGGGUAGUGGCUUACCAAGGCUUUGACGGGUAGCCGGCCUGAGAGGGUGACCGGCCACAUUGGGCCUGCGAUACGGCCCAGACUCCUACGGGAGGCAGCAGUGGGGAAUAUUGCCCAAUGGGCGGAAGCCUGAUGCAGCAACGCCGCGUGCGGGAUGACGGCCUUCGGGUUGUAAACCGCUUUCGCCUGUGACGAAGCGUGAGUGACGGUAAUGGGUAAAGAAGCACCGGCUAACUACGUG
rnacentral:rRNA from 1 species